rnacentral:rRNA from 1 species
UACGUAGGGGGCAAGCGUUGUCCGGAAUCAUUGGGCGUAAAGCGCGUGUAGGCGGCCCGGUAAGUCCGCUGUGAAAGUCGGGGGCUCAACCCUCGAAUGCCGGUGGAUACUGUCGGGCUAGAGUGCGGAAGAGGCGAGUGGAAUUCCUGGUGUAGCGGUGAAAUGCGCAGAUAUCAGGAAGAACACCAAUGGCGAAAGCAGCUCUCUGGGACGGUACUGACGCUGAGACGCGAAAGCGUGGGGAGCGAACAGG